CCAUGACCCUUUGUUCAGGUGUGCUUUCAUGACUACUGGCCAAGGAGAAGCACCCCUCUGCGUAGAGGUUUGAAAAGGGAGAGAACAUGCUAAGACGUCCAGUGCACACCUGACAUCAGGCUCCUCUGCUCGCCAACGUGCUGAGCCAAGUGGAAGUUACAAGUAGAUCUUUUGAAGUAGAAACGGGCCAUUGGAAGAGCUUCAGUGUGGGAAGGUUUUUUUUUGUGUGUGUGUGUUUUGCCCCCUUGUCCCUCCUGCGUCUAUUUCCAGUUAUGCCUUCCUUUUGAGGAACCUCUCCGCCUGCUAUAACCCAGUCCCACCUUGUCAGUGUGCAGCGACUGGCUCAGAAGUAGCCUUGUGACUCAGGUUGGUCAAACCAGCACCAUUCACAUUACCUGGUGUAUUAAUUUCCUGUGGCUGCUGCAACAAAUUACCACAAACUUGGUGGCGUCAAGUCACUGAAAUUAUUCCCUUGCAUUUCUGGAGCCCAGGAGUCUGGAAUCUGUUUUAUGGAGCCAAAACCAAGUUGUCAGAGGGCCACGCUCCCUCCAGAGGCUCUAAGGGAGAGGCUGUUCCUUGCUAAUUCUGGCGGCUGCAGGCACUCCCUUACUUGUGGCCCCAUCACUCCUAUCUCUGCCUCAAUAGUCACACUGCCUCCUCCUGUUCUGUGUGUGGGGCCUCCCUCUCUCUUAUAAAGACAUUUGUGAUUGCAUUUGGGGGACAUCUGCAAUAUCCAGACUAAAUCUCCCAUGUCAAGAAUCUUAAAGUAAUCACAUCUUUGAAGACCGCUUUUUCCUCAUACUGUAGCAUUUGCUUGUUCCAGGAUUAGAACCUGGUAUCUUUGGGCAACUGUUAUUCAGCCAACUGUACUUAGAAUUAAUGAGAGGAAAUAUUGUUUCUUUUAUUCUGGAUGCUCUGAGUGUGUGAGUCUGCAGAUAUAUUGAUAUUAAGAGGAGAGUACCCACCAGCGAAUGGGAUCAGCGAGGGAGAAAGUAGCUCAGCAAGACAGAAGGAAACAGGGGCCUGAUGACAUCACUGUAGGAUUCAAGCCGACCCAAGUGAGGCCAAUGUCUGGACUACAAAUUACGUCUCCUAAUUGAAAUGUGCUGAAGCAAUUGAAAUGUGGUACCUCGGCGAAUUACUGUCAGACACUGUGGCCUUUGGACCAGCUAGAAGAUUGUCACGAAAGGAGAAGUGUAUGUUGGUGGAAAUUUAGAAAAAAGAAUCUCAUAAGAAAUUUUACUUUGGUAAAACUGUUUCUAUGAAAAGAAAAUUUUAAAAAGAGGUUGUGAAAUGGGGAAUGCAUCUAUUGACAGCUGCGCUUUUCACAUAAAAUAUUCUGAGCAUAUAAAAUAAAAUAUACCUUGCAGAUACAGAGA